CGGACGGGUGAGUAACGCGUGAGAAUCUGCCUUAAGGAUUGGGACAACAGCUGGAAACGGCUGCUAAUACCAAAUAUGCCUAUAAGUGAAACGGGUAAAACCGCCUUAAGAUGAGCUCGCGUCUGAUUAGCUAGUUGGUGUGGUAAGAGCGCACCAAGGCGAUGAUCAGUAGCUGGUUUGAGAGAAUGACCAGCCACACUGGGACUGAGACACGGCCCAGACUCCUACGGGAGGCAGCAGUGAGGAAUUUUCCGCAAUGGGCGAAAGCCUGACGGAGCAAUACCGCGUGAGGGAGGAAGGUUCUUGGAUUGUAAACCUCUUUUCUCAGAGAAGAAUAAUGACGGUAUCUGAGGAAUAAGCAUCGGCUAACUCCGUGCCAGCAGCCGCGGUAAUACGGAGGAUGCAAGCGUUAUCCGGAAUGAUUGGGCGUAAAGGGUCUGUAGGUGGUUGUUCAAGUCUGCUGUUAAAGCGUCUGGCUUAACCAGAUAAAGGCGGUGGAAACUGAACGACUCGAGUGCGGUAGGGGUAGAGGGAAUUCCCAGUGUAGCGGUGAAAUGCGUAGAUCUUGGGAAGAACACCUGUGGCGAAAGCGCUCUACUAGACCGCAACUGACACUGAUGGACGAAAGCUAGGGGAGCGAAUGGGAUUAGAUACCCCAGUAGUC
rnacentral:rRNA from 1 species